rnacentral:rRNA from 1 species
AUGUCCAUCGUACCGUACGGUGGCGGAUCGGGCGGCGCGGUGGCACAUCCAGCGCCGGUGCUCAUGGGGGAGAACUACGUCACCUGGGCCAUCAAGGUGGAGGCCGACCUGGACGCCGCAGGGCUGUGGGAGGCGGUGGUGUCGCCGGAGGACGCGGCGUCAGCGGUGAUCGCCAAGAAAGACAAGCCGGCGAGGGCUUAUCUGCUCCGGGCGCUCGCCGACGACCUUCUGCUGCAGGUGGCCGCGAAGAAGACCGCGGCGGAGAUUCGGAGCAGCUUGAAGGCUCGGUUCGUCGGAGCAGAUCGCGUGCGCGCGGCGCGACUGGGCAUGUUGCGUGGGGAGUGGGAGCUCCUGCGCAUGGCGAGCGACGAGUCGCUGGACGCGUUCGCCGGGAAAAUCAGCGGCAUGGCGGCGCGCUACACCGGGCUUGGGGCGACGCUCGACGACGCGGCGAUGGUGAAGAAACUCCUGGACUGCAUCCCGGAUCGCCUGUACGCGGCGGUCGCCGGGAUGGAGCAGUUCUGCGACCUGUCCACGCUCCUGUUCGAGGACGCGCUGGGGCGGCUGAAGGCGUUCGACGAGCGGCUGCGUCGGCGCGGGCAGGCGGGCGGCGAGCGGGCAGACGGUCAGCUCAUGUACACGGCGGCGCAAUGGCGGGCACGGGAGCGGCAGCGCAGCGGAGCUCGGGACGACGACGAUGGGGCGCGCAGCGAGGCCUCGGGCUUCGGGAACCGGCGUGGUCGCUGUUACAAGUGCGGCGACCGUGGGCACUUCAAGCGCGAGUGUCCACAAUGGAAGAAGGCGCCGGCGGCGGAGCACACGAUGAUGGCGGAGGCUGCCGUCGAGGUCGAUGGCCUGCUCUGA